UACAGAGGGGGCAAGCGUUGUUCGGAAUUACUGGGCGUAAAGGGCGCGUAGGCGGCCCGCUAAGUCGAACGUGAAAUCCCCGGGCUCAACCCGGGAACUGCGUCCGAUACUGGGAGGCUUGAAUCCGGGAGAGGGAUGUGGAAUUCCAGGUGUAGCGGUGAAAUGCGUAGAUAUCGGGAGGAACACCAGUGGCGAAGGCGGCGUUCUGGACUGCAACUGACACUGAGGAACGAAAGCCAGGGGAGCAAACGGG
rnacentral:rRNA from 1 species